rnacentral:rRNA from 1 species
UACGUAGGCAGCAAGCGUUGUUCGGAGUUACUGGGCGUAAAGGGUGUGUAGGCGGUUGGAUAAGUGUGGUGUGAAAUCUCCCGGCUUAACUGGGAGGGUGCGCUACAAACUGUCUGACUAGAGUGUGGGAUGGGUAAGUGGAAUUCCUGGUGUAGCGGUGAAAUGCGCAGAUAUCAGGAGGAACACCAAUGGCGAAGGCAGCUCGCUGGGACGGUACUGACGCUGGAGACGCGAAAGCGUGGGGAGCAAACAGG